AGUGAACGCUGGCGGUAGGCCUAACACAUGCAAGUCGAACGGCAGCACAGAGGAGCUUGCUCCUUGGGUGGCGAGUGGCGGACGGGUGAGGAAUACAUCGGAAUCUACUCUGUCGUGGGGGAUAACGUAGGGAAACUUACGCUAAUACCGCAUACGACCUACGGGUGAAAGCAGGGGACCUUCGGGCCUUGCGCGAUUGAAUGAGCCGAUGUGGGAUUAGCUAGUUGGCGGGGUAAAGGCCCACCAAGGCGACGAUCCGUAGCUGGUCUGAGAGGAUGAUCAGCCACACUGGAACUGAGACACGGUCCAGACUCCUACGGGAGGCAACAGUGGGGAAUAUUGGACAAUGGGCGCAAGCCUGAUCCAGCCAUACCGCGUGGGUGAAGAAGGCCUUCGGGUUGUAAAGCCCUUUUGUUGGGAAAGAAAUCCAGCUGGCUAAUACCCGGUUGGGAUGACGGUACCCAAAGAAUAAGCACCGGCUAACUUCGUGCCAGCAGCCGCCGUAA
rnacentral:rRNA from 1 species